GAAGAGAACUGGAAAGUUCCACCGUAGAAGGUAAUAGUCCUGUAAGUGAAACGAGAAGACCACGAGUUAUGAUCCAGAGUACCACGAGACACGUGAAACCUUGUGGGAAGCAGGGAGGACCACCUCCCAAGGCUAAAUACUACCUGAUGACCGAUAGUGAAGCAGUACCGUGAGGGAAAGGUGAAAAGAACCCCGGGAGGGGAGUGAAAUAGAACCUGAAACCGUGUGCCUACAACCGCUCAGAGCCCCUUAUGAGGGUGAUGAGGUGCUUUUUGUAGAACGAGCCAACGAGUUACGGUAUGUAGCAAGGUUAAGUACUUAAGGUACGGAGCCGAAGGGAAACCGAGUCUGAAUAGGGCGACUAGUUGCAUGCCGUAGACCCGAAACCGGGUGACCUAUCCAUGGCCAGGUUGAAGCGAGGGUAAAACCUCGUGGAGGACCGAACCACGUUGCUGUUGAAAAAGCAUGGGAUGAGCUGUGGAUAGCGGAGAAAUUCCAAUCGAACCCGGAGAUAGCUGGUUCUCUCCGAAAUAGCUUUAGGGCUAGCGUCGAGUAUGAGUAGUGGAGGUAGAGCACUGAAUGGGCUAGGGGGCAUAGCGCUUACCGAACCUUAUCAAACUCCGAAUGCCACAUACUUUGAGCUCGGCAGUCAGACUACGAAUGAUAAGAUCCGUGGUCAAAAGGGAAACAGCCCAGAUCGUCAGCUAAGGUCCCAAAGUGUAAGUUAAGUGGGAAAGGAUGUGAGAUUUCUAAGACAACUAGGAUGUUGGCUUAGAAGCAGCCAUUCAUUAAAAGAGUGCGUAAUAGCUCACUAGUCGAGAGAUCUUGCGCCGAAAAUGUAACGGGGCUAAACUUACCACCGAAGCUACGGGCUUGAACUUAGUUCAAGCGGUAGGAGAGCGUCGUAACCGGGCUGAAGUCGUACCGUAAGGAGCGGUGGACUGGUUACGAGUGAGAAUGUUGGCAUCAGUAGCGAGAUGUGGGUGAGAAUCCCACAGGCCGAAAACCUAAGGUUUCCUCAGGAAGGUUCGUCCGCUGAGGGUUAGUCGGGACCUAAGCCGAGGCCGAAAGGCGUAGGUGAUGGACAACUGGUUGAUAUUCCAGUACCACUACCAU
rnacentral:rRNA from 1 species